rnacentral:lncRNA from 1 species
AGGCCUCCUCUACCUCCCAUUGGAAAUUGCAUUGGCUUCCCUAUCUUUCUUCUUCCCGAAAUUGCUGCCACAACUAUUACUCGAUGAUGCCUCCUCUUUUAACAAUCUUCCUUCUCGGACACCUUCUUCAAGCCUCAUCCCUAUAUUUACCAUUUCGGUAAAGUCACUGGGGGCACUGGAGAUCAUACGUUCAUAGUAAAAUUAACUCAGGGUCUUCAAAAAUAUCUUUGUCAUCUCCUUC